rnacentral:rRNA from 1 species
AUUGAACGCUGGCGGCAGGCCUAACCCAUGCAAGUCGAGCGAGCGGAGGACGGGUGAGUAAUGUCUGGGAAACUGCCUGAUGGAGGGGGAUAACUAAUGGAAACGGUAGCUAAUACCGCAUACCAUCAGAUGUGCCAAGGUGGGAUUAGCUAGUAGGUGGGGGAAAGGCUCACCUAGGCGACGAUCCCUAGCUGGUCUGAGAGGAUGACCAUCCACACUGUACAUGAGACACGGCCCCGACUCCUACGGGUGGCAGCAGUGGGGAAUAUUGCACAAUGGGCGCAAGCCUGAUGCAGCCAUGCCGCGUGUGUGAAGAAGGCCUUCGGGUUGUAAGGCACUUUCAUCGGGGAGGCGUUACCCGCAGAAGAAGCACCGGCUAACUACGUGCCAGCAGCCGCGGUAAUAC